GAAAGGAAAUAGUAAUUCAGUAAAGGAAAAGUAGUGAGAGUAAUAGCCCUGACUGAGAGUGAGUGAGAGAAAGUAAUAGCAAUGAGAGAAAGGAAGGGGUAAGGAGAGAGAGAGAAGAAAAGAGUGAGAGA